AGUGAACGCUGGCGGUAGGCCUAACACAUGCAAGUCGAACGGCAGCACAGUAAGAGCUUGCUCUUACGGGUGGCGAGUGGCGGACGGGUGAGGAAUACAUCGGAAUCUACUUUUUCGUGGGGGAUAACGUAGGGAAACUUACGCUAAUACCGCAUACGACCUACGGGUGAAAGCAGGGGAUCUUCGGACCUUGCGCGAUUGAAUGAGCCGAUGUCGGCUUAGCUAGUUGGCGGGGUAAAGGCCCACCAAGGCGACGAUCCGUAGCUGGUCUGAGAGGAUGAUCAGCCACACUGGAACUGAGACACGGUCCAGACUCCUACGGGAGGCAGCAGUGGGGAAUAUUGGACAAUGGGCGCAAGCCUGAUCCAGCCAUACCGCGUGGGUGAAGAAGGCCUUCGGGUUGUAAAGCCCUUUUGUUGGGAAAGAAAAGCAGCAGGUUAAUACCCCGCUGUUCUGAGGGUACCCAAAGAAUAAGCACCGGCUAACUUCGUG
rnacentral:rRNA from 1 species